rnacentral:tRNA from 1 species
GGUCGUGUGAUGGAAUUGGUAUACAUGAGGGUCUCAAAAACCCUUGUCGCAAGACAUGUCGGUUCGAGUCCGACCACGACUA